UCGCCUUUCCCCCCUACUAAUUUUUCAUCAAUCGCCGAAACAAAAACCAAGUGGGCACUGCCUACACUCACCACCCGCCCCCAUGAGCCCCUCAAUCACUACAUAGCUAUGCAUCUCAACCUGAUAUGUUUCAAUCUCUCGGCGCCCACCGCCUUAUAUACCGCUCCCGCAUCGCCGCUUACGUCAAAGCCGGCCUCAUCGACAAUGCAGUUCAACUGUUCGACGAAAUGUCCCAAUCAAAUUGUCGAGUUUUCAGCAUCGAUUACAACCGUUUUAUUGGCGUUCUAGUACGCCAUUCCCGGUUUGAUUUAGCUCACCACUAUUAUUCCCAAAUGGGCACUCUUGGAUUCUCAUUAUCUCCCUUUACUUACUCUCGUUUCAUUUCGGGUUUAUGCGAAGUUAAGAACUUUAGUUUUAUUGAUAAAUUGUUGCUUGAUAUGGAGAGGCUGAAUUGCUUGCCUGAUAUUUGGGCUUUUAAUAUUUAUUUGCAUCUUUUAUUUGUUGAAGGUAGAGUAGAAUUAGCUUUGGAGGUGUUUGAGAUAAUGCUCGAACGAGGGCGCGAGCCGGAUGUUGUAACUUAUACUAUUAUCAUUGAUGGGUUCUGUAAAGUUAGUAAAUUUGAUACUGCUGCGGAUUUUUGGCGCGAUAUGGUGAAAAAGGGUUUUGCGCCGGAUAAUAAAGCUUGUGGCGCGAUUGUUGUCGGGUUGUGCGGCGGAGGGAAGGUGGAUUUGGCUUAUGAGCUGAUAAUUGAUGUUAUGAAGAGUGGUGAAGUUAAGUUAGGUACAUUGAUUUAUAACGCGUUGAUUAGUGGGUUUUGUAGAUUGGGGAGGAUUGAUAAGGCGCAGGCGAUUAAAUCUUUUAUGAGGAAGAAUGGAUGUAAUCCAGAUUUGGUUACGUAUAAUGUGUUGUUGAAUUAUUUUUGUAAUGAGUUGAUGUUGGAUGAGGCGAAUAAGUUGUUGAAGAUUAUGCAGAGAAAUGGGAUUGAACCGGAUUUAUAUAGCUAUAACCAGCUUCUUAAGGGGAUCUGUAAUACAAAUAGCGCGGAUAAAGGUUACUUGUUUAUGACGACCAAGAUGGGGCCAAAAGGUUUAUGUGAUGUUGUUUCGUAUAAUACUAUUAUUAAAGCAUUUUGUAAGGUGAGUGAUACCAGAAGUGCUUUUAAGUUGUUUGAGAAAAUGCAGCGGAUAAAGAUUACACCUGAUAUUGUGACGUUUACUAUACUUAUAAAAGCUUUUCUUGGUAAAGGUAGUCCUGAUAUAGCAAAAAAUCUGCUAGAUCAGAUGACAGAAAUGGGCCUUUCACCUGAUCGUAUUUUUUAUACGACUAUUAUUGAUCAUUUAUGCAAGAGUGGGAGAGUAGAAGCAGCUCAAGAAGUUUUCUCUGAUAUGGUAAAGCGUGGAAUUUCCCCUGACGUGAUUUCAUAUAAUGCCCUUAUUGAUGGGUUUUGCAAAUCCUCUAGACUAAGUGGAGCCUUAGACUUAUACGAAGAAAUGCAAAGUACAGGGUCAUAUCCAGACGAAGUCACUUACAAAUUGAUCAUUCAAGGGCUUAUAGAGGACAAAAGGAUUACAGAUGCUUCUAUGGUGUGGGGUCAGAUGAUGGAUAAGGGCUUUACUCUUGACAGAACUAUUGCUGAGACACUUAUUAGAUCCAUUUCUAGAGAAAAUGCAUCUAAAUAACAAAUGACUGAAGCCGUGGGCAUCCUUGUUGUUCAUUGAAUCCGUCCAGAUUUGGUUUUUUUUGGUCAGGAUACUUCUCCCCAGGGUGAUGUUGUUGCUAAAUAAUUGCCUUGCUGGUGAAAUGCAAUAGUGCUGCAUGCAGUAGAUGAUGCUUCUUGGAGCUUUAAGGCUAGAUAAUCAGAACAUUCAACCCAUCCUUCCUGGUAGUAUUCUUUGGACUACUAAGCGUUGCAAAGGGUUUUGCUCUCUUCGGAGUGAGAUAGGGAAACUGUAGUUAUGUUUUCAGGUCACAUUUGAAAUCUUAGAAUGUUCAGAAAGUCCAGUAUUUCUGGAGAAUGGAUGUGACAGGAGAAUGCUGCUUCAAGAUUUAAAGUUCGGAUUCAAGAGUACAGCUUCUCAAUCUACAAGUGUCACUGCGUACUAUCAUUUAAUCUAAUUAGACCUUUAAAGUAGAAAUAGAACCAAAUGCAGAUUUAUUGGAUUACUGCUGAGUUCCGGAUGAUCUUGCUGAGGAUAAGCUAAUGCAAAGGAAUUGAAAGCAGACAAGGUUUCCUGAUGUUCAACAUCCAUUUUGAAUAUCGAUUGGAACUCCAAAUUUAAGUGAUCAUGACUGGUUUCCUACCUACAUCUACAAAUGGGUACCACCAAAUCUUACAAAGCUGACAAGGAAUUCAAAAUGCAAUAACAAGGCUCCAUAAAGCAGCGUGAAGGCCAACGUGCUCGGCCUCCAACUUCGUCUGGGAUAAAACUACCUAGUUCUAGUGGGGCACCAGUUAGUCCAGAUGCAGCACCUCUGAAUCGUCGGGACCAACGAAACCAGCCACUGGGGUCACGGG